rnacentral:rRNA from 1 species
CGGCACUAGCGCGGUGGUCCCACCUGACCCCAUGCCGAACUCAGAAGUGAAACGCCGUAGCGCCGAUGGUAGUGUGGGGUCUCCCCAUGUGAGAGUAGGGAACUGCCAGGCA